AUAAUGGGUCAGCGACUUAUAUUCUGUAGCAAGGUUAACCGAAUAGGGGAGCCGAAGGGAAACCGAGUCUUAACUGGGCGUUAAGUUGCAGGGUAUAGACCCGAAACCCGGUGAUCUAGCCAUGGGCAGGUUGAAGGUUGGGUAACACUAACUGGAGGACCGAACCGACUAAUGUUGAAAAAUUAGCGGAUGACUUGUGGCUGGGGGUGAAAGGCCAAUCAAACCGGGAGAUAGCUGGUUCUCCCCGAAAGCUAUUUAGGUAGCGCCUCGUGAAUUCAUCUCCGGGGGUAGAGCACUGUUUCGGCAAGGGGGUCAUCCCGACUUACCAACCCGAUGCAAACUGCGAAUACCGGAGAAUGUUAUCACGGGAGACACACGGCGGGUGCUAACGUCCGUCGUGAAGAGGGAAACAACCCAGACCGCCAGCUAAGGUCCCAAAGUCAUGGUUAAGUGGGAAACGAUGUGGGAAGGCCCAGACAGCCAGGAUGUUGGCUUAGAAGCAGCCAUCAUUUAAAGAAAGCGUAAUAGCUCACUGGUCGAGUCGGCCUGCGCGGAAGAUGUAACGGGGCUAAACCAUGCACCGAAGCUGCGGCAGCGACACUGUGUGUUGUUGGGUAGGGGAGCGUUCUGUAAGCCUGCGAAGGUGUGCUGUGAGGCAUGCUGGAGGUAUCAGAAGUGCGAAUGCUGACAUAAGUAACGAUAAAGCGGGUGAAAAGCCCGCUCGCCGGAAGACCAAGGGUUCCUGUCCAACGUUAAUCGGGGCAGGGUGAGUCGACCCCUAAGGCGAGGCCGAAAGGCGUAGUCGAUGGGAAACAGGUUAAUAUUCCUGUACUUGGUGUUACUGCGAAGGGGGGACGGAGAAGGCUAUGUUGGCCGGGCGACGGUUGUCCCGGUUUAAGCGUGUAGGCUGGUUUUCCAGGCAAAUCCGGAAAAUCAAGGCUGAGGCGUGAUGACGAGGCACUACGGUGCUGAAGCAACAAAUGCCCUGCUUCCAGGAAAAGCCUCUAAGCAUCAGGUAACAUCAAAUCGUACCCCAAACCGACACAGGUGGUCAGGUAGAGAAUACCAAGGCGCUUGAGAGAACUCGGGUGAAGGAACUAGGCAAAAUGGUG
rnacentral:rRNA from 1 species